GCCAAAUGAUGUUGGUUUUAUAAUGGAGCACUUCAGUGCAAAGACGACUCUUCAUCUAUCACCCAUGACUGAUGGCU